GACAGAGGGUGCAAACGUUGCUCGGAAUCACUGGGCGUAAAGGGCGUGUAGGCGGGAAGGAAAGUCAGAUGUGAAAUCCCCAGGCUCAACCUGGGAACUGCAUUUGAAACUCCCUUUCUUGAGUAUCGGAGAGGAAAGCGGAAUUCCUGGUGUAGCAGUGAAAUGCGUAGAUAUCCGGAGGAACACCGGUGGCGAAGGCGGCUUCCUGGACCGACACUGACGCUGAGGCGCGAAAGCUAGGGGAGCAAACGGG
rnacentral:rRNA from 1 species